rfam:Triticum aestivum genome assembly, contig: Triticum_aestivum_CS42_TGACv1_scaffold_093450_2AL
GUCUUACCAUGAGUUCCUUGCAAGCACUUCACGAGCAUUCUUUCAAAUGCCAUUGUGAAGUGUUUGGGGGAACUCUUGGUGAUGC